UACGGAGGGUGCAAACGUUGCUCGGAAUCAUUGGGCGUAAAGCGCACGUAGGUGGCCUGUUAAGUCGGGUGUGAAAGCCCUCGGCUCAACCGAGGAAGUGCAUUCGAAACUAGCAGGCUUGAGUAUGGAAGAGGGUCGUGGAAUUCCCGGUGUAGAGGUGAAAUUCGUAGAUAUCGGGAGGAACACCAGUGGCGAAGGCGGCGACCUGGGCCAAUACUGACACUGAGGUGCGAAAGCGUGGGGAGCAAACAGG
rnacentral:rRNA from 1 species